AUUCAUUAACCACUCUAUUGAAUUAAUUAGUGACUCUAUAUAGACUCACUAGUGACUCUACAUAGGGUCACUAAUGAAUUCAAUAGAGUGGCUAAUGAAUUAAUCUU